UUGGCAUUUGAGAUGGGUGAGCAGGAGAGAGGAGGGAACAAAGACACCAGAGUUGAAAGUACAAACAGUGUUUGUAGCAGGCUUACAAGACAAACAAGCCCAUGCAUGUAGUUUCUGCCUGUAGAGAGGCCAUUGAAAAGGCUGCUUGGAUACUGCAGGAAUGAAAAAUACAGAAUAAUGGAAAUGAAAAACUCUUCAAGUAUGUUUAACUGAACUUUGUGAAUGGAUGGACUAGACAUAUGAAUUCCACAGCAUUUGGAUCAUACACUGAAGAGGCUCUCCAAACAAGAGUCAUGUACAUUAGCAGAAUGUGUUACUGCUGUUCAUCACCAAGCCCAUUGACUGCUGCCAAGGAUCGAAGCAGAGGCCGUAGAGAAGGCAGUGUCAACCGGGCACUCAUCUCUGCUUUCUUUGUCCCAUGAACUUCUGAUGAGAUCAAGGAUUCCUCCUGCAAGAUAACAGGACACAGGUUUUCUGAG